AAGCAGAUUACUACAACUAAAAACGGCUUAAGUGUAAUCACGUGGCACAAAAUGCUAUGCUGACUAUAAAUCUCAACUCAGCAUGGGAGUUCUCAUUGUGAGGGACUCUUUAGCAGUGCGCAUGUUCUACUUGACCUUCUUGGCAAGGCCCCAGGGAGCCCGGAGCAUAGCCCAGGCUGGGCUCUCAGUGGUCUGGACACCACUGCGGGGUGAAAGGGGCUGGCUGGCAGCUUCAGCAGAUGGAGUUAAGAGGAAAUGAAGGUGAAGUCCAAGGGGAGAGAGCCACUGCUGUGGGUUGAGUUAAUCGAGAACAAGUGACCAGGGCCCUCGCAGCCAAUGCUACCAUGAAGCUGUUCCUUCUCUGCUCACAGCCAUGAACUGUGACAUGUGCCAUGUGAGUUAUGUGUGAGAUCCUGAAAUCUCCAAAGGAAAACAAGACUUGAGCUGUCUACUGACAGGAAUUCUAGGAAAUAUAGUGGGCCAGAAAUGGGAAGCAUAAAAACAGUCGCCAGAAGAAACUUGGUGACCCUCCCCUGAAUUGUCACUGACACUUCUGACAUUACAAGGGAAUGAAAAAAAACGCCUGAUUUCACCUGGAGGGGUGGGGUCAGGAAGAGACCUGCUGAAAUGAUCGGGCUACAACCAGAAGCCUCCUGAGAGGCAUUUCUGCUUUAGGGUGUAAAGUGGGCAAGGACGGGGAAAUGCUGCAGCCUGCUGUGUUAGAGAAAGGAGCUAUUUGAGCAGCUCAGCCUCAGCACUACCAGAAGUGGGAAGGCUGUGGUAAAGGUGAAGAGCUGAUAAGAAUAAUAGCAAGAGCUUCAGAGUGAGUGCCCAGCCAGCAGAGCAGUGGCCUAAAGAGCUUUCCAAGUAUUUGACCUCUCUGGGCCUCAGUUUCCUUAUCUGAAAACAGAGAUGAUAAUAAUAGCGUGCACUGGUUUCCUAGGGUUGUUGUAGCAAAUACUACAAACUAGGUGGCUUUAAACAACAGAAAUUUACUCUCUCACAGUUCUGGAAGCUAGAAUUCAAAAAUAAAGGUGUCAGCAGGGCUAUGCUCCCUCUGAAAGUUCUAGGAAAGAACCCUUCCUUGCCUCUUCCAGCUUCUGGUGGUCGCCAGUAAUCCCUGCCAUUCUUUGUAUAUGGCAGCGUAUCUCCUAUCUCUGCCUCCAUCUCUACGUGGUCAUCUUUCCUCUGUGAGUGUCUCCCCCUUCUUAUAAGAACACCAGGCAUUGGAUUAGGGCCCAAUCAAGUUAUGACUUCAUCAUAACUUGAUUAUACCUUACAAAGACCUUAUUUCCAAAUACGAUCACAUUCAUAGAUUCUAGGUGGAUAUGAAUUUUUAGGGGGACACUAUGCAACCCAGUAUAGAGCACCUACCACAUAAAGAGUUGAUAUAUAUAAGAUGCUUAAAACAGUUCCUGGUAGAUAAUAUAUGCCAUGUAUGAGUUAGCUACCUUUCUUCAUUAUCUCUGGCAGAUAGUAGCUACCAUGAAAUAUGUGGAUGCUCUGUUGUAUAAGAAUCAUCCUCCCUCCAUCUUGAGUCAGAGGCAAAAAACUGGGUGGGACUAGAGUUCCAAAAAGAGAAGAUGAGGACAGAGCUAGAACACAAUGGGUUUAUUACCAUUCAACACUCCCUCUACCAAUACCCUAUCAAUACACCUAGGCUGGAGUGAGGAAAUAUCUGCUACAGUCACAUCAUUUGUUUUUUGAACAACAGAGAACUUAUCACUCCAAACUAACAAUGGCCCCAUCAAAGAAGUCCUCAAAUUAGGACCCACUUAGGAGGAGCUUCCAGAGCCAGGAGAGAAGCUGCACCAGUGAGCCCAGCAGCCUCAUCAUUUAGAAUCAACUGGGACACAGGUUCGAGCCUUGGUCCAGGAAGAUCCCACAUGCUGCGGAGCAACUAAGCCCCUGCACCACAGCUACUGAGCCUGUACACCAUAACUACUGAAGCCUGCACUCCUAGAGCCCGUGCUCUGCAACAAGAGGAGCCACCGCAAUGAGAAGCCCACGCACCACAACAAACAGCAGCCCCUGCUCGCCGCAACUAGAGAAAGACUGCACGCAGCAACAAAGACCCAACGCAGCCAAAAAUAAAUAAAAAUAAAAUAAAUAAAUUUAUUUUUA